UAGAGUUUGAUCAUGGCUCAGAGCGAACGCUGGCGGCAGGCUUAACACAUGCAAGUCGAACGGGCACUUCGGUGCUAGUGGCAGACGGGUGAGUAACACGUGGGAACGUACCUUUCGGUUCGGAAUAAUCCAGGGAAACUUGGACUAAUACCGGAUACGCCCUUCGGGGGAAAGAUUUAUCGCCGAUAGAUCGGCCCGCGUCUGAUUAGCUAGUUGGUGAGGUAAUGGCUCACCAAGGCGACGAUCAGUAGCUGGUCUGAGAGGAUGAUCAGCCACAUUGGGACUGAGACACGGCCCAAACUCCUACGGGAGGCAGCAGUGGGGAAUAUUGGACAAUGGGCGAAAGCCUGAUCCAGCCAUGCCGCGUGAGUGAUGAAGGCCCUAGGGUUGUAAAGCUCUUUCACCGGGGAAGAUAAUGACGGUACCCGGAGAAGAAGCCCUGGCUAACUUCGUGCCAGCAGCCGCGGUAAUAGAGUUUGAUCAUGGCUCAGGUCCAGCAGCCGCGGUAAU
rnacentral:rRNA from 1 species